rnacentral:rRNA from 1 species
UACAGAGGAUGCAAGCGUUAUCCGGAAUGAUUGGGCGUAAAGCGUCUGUAGGUGGCUUUUUAAGUCCGCCGUCAAAUCCCAGGGCUCAACUCUGGACAGGCGGUGGAAACUACCAAGCUUGAGUACGGUAGGGGCAGAGGGAAUUUCCGGUGGAGCGGUGAAAUGACGCAGAUAUCAGGAGGAACACCCAAUUGCGAAGGCAGCUCGCUGGGACGUUACUGACGCUGAGACGCGAAAGCGUGGGGGAGCAAACAGG